AUACGGAGGAUGCGAGCGUUAUCCGGAUUUAUUGGGUUUAAAGGGAGCGUAGGCGGGAUAUUAAGUCAGCUGUGAAAGUUUGGGGCUCAACCUUAAAAUUGCAGUUGAUACUGGUUUCCUUGAGUACGGUACAGGUGGGCGGAAUUCGUGGUGUAGCGGUGAAAUGCUUAGAUAUCACGAAGAACUCCGAUCGCGAAGGCAGCACACCUGGACAUAACGGACACUGAUGCUCGAAAGUGCGGGUAACAGACAGGAUUAGAUACCCUGGUAGUCCGCACAGUAGAGGUUGAAUACUCGCUGUUUGCGAUACACUGUAAGCGGCCAAGCGAAAGCGUUAAGUAUUCCGCCUGGGGAGUACGCCGGCAACGGUGAAACUCAAAUGAAUUGACGGGG
rnacentral:rRNA from 1 species